CAUUUUCCAUAAAACAAAGCACUUAUAUACACAAGGAAAAGGAUUAUCUCACCGUGAGCAAGUGAUUGGCGUGUCCUUUCUCAAUUUCAUUUGUUCGCAACAAUUUCAGCAGUUCGUCGAGCACAUCUGCACUAAGACUGUUGUCAGCUCCCAACUUCUUCAGCUCCAAACGCUCGUUCACCAUACCAUCAAACAACUUGAUCAACUUUCCAAAAUAAACACUUGAUCGUCGUUUGAUACCUUGAGGAUCGAAAGCCCUAAGAAUAGGAAAAUAAUCCACAAAAUUCGGCGUACCUGCCUCCUUCAUAAUGUUCCACACCGUGUCCUUAAACUCCUUAGUGUCACUACCAUGAUACGGAUCUACCAUAUCCUUGGAAAACAUGGUAUUAGACAAAAGAUUAAGCGCAGUCUGAAAAGCAGCACAACCAAUAUCUACAGCCUCCCCUCUUUCGCUACACUUAGUAACGUAUCCAACAAGCUCCUGCACCUUAUUCGUUCGAAGAUGAUGAUUAGCAUCCAGCUUGCUAGUUGUAAAAAUAUAAGAGCUCAUAAUUUUUCUUAGAUUCCUCCACUGAUUUCCAACAGGCAACCAUGCAACCGAGAACUUGAAAUGGUCUUGGGCACGUAUAGCAUCGGGAUNCAAUACCGUUUCCGGAUUUCUUAAUACCUCAGCCAUCGUCCAUUCCACUGUACUUGAAGUCGUAUCUGUUCCUGCAGCGAACAAAUCCUGCCCAAGUAAAUAAUUGUUAGAAUACUAUAUGAUACUGAUAAGCACUCCUCCUAAUACUUUCACAUUUCGCAGAAUCAAUUACUUACCAUGGUAAGAGCUUUCUUAUAUAUACUAUAGAACAAGAGUAGUGCAACAUGCACAAAAUUGGGUACAGAAUUUUGCACAAAAUGGCGUGGCAACUGAGGUGGAUAGUUUUAAUUGGUGCUAUUAAUGCAUAUACAGGGGGCCAUUCCAAUCAAAUGUUAACACAUACUCAUUAUGUGAAUAUUUUUGUAAUCAAUUUUGUGCAACUAGCAUUUUCCAUAAAACAAAGCACUUAUAUACACAAGGAAAAGGAUUAUCUCACCGUGAGCAAGUGAUUGGCGUGUCCUUUCUCAAUUUCAUUUGUUCGCAACAAUUUCAGCAGUUCGUCGAGCACAUCUGCACUAAGACUGUUGUCAGCUCCCAACUUCUUCAGCUCCAAACGCUCGUUCACCAUACCAUCAAACAACUUGAUCAACUUUCCAAAAUAAACACUUGAUCGUCGUUUGAUACCUUGAGGAUCGAAAGCCCUAAGAAUAGGAAAAUAAUCCACAAAAUUCGGCGUACCUGCCUCCUUCAUAAUGUUCCACACCGUGUCCUUAAACUCCUUAGUGUCACUACCAUGAUACGGAUCUACCAUAUCCUUGGAAAACAUGGUAUUAGACAAAAGAUUAAGCGCAGUCUGAAAAGCAGCACAACCAAUAUCUACAGCCUCCCCUCUUUCGCUACACUUAGUAACGUAUCCAACAAGCUCCUGCACCUUAUUCGUUCGAAGAUGAUGAUUAGCAUCCAGCUUGCUAGUUGUAAAAAUAUAAGAGCUCAUAAUUUUUCUUAGAUUCCUCCACUGAUUUCCAACAGGCAACCAUGCAACCGAGAACUUGAAAUGGUCUUGGGCACGUAUAGCAUCGGGAUGGGGCCGAGUAGAGAAGGCCAGGUCUUGCUUUUGGAGGACUUCUCGAGCUGCAGUCGGUGAAGAGAUAAUUAUGGUGGUUAUACGUCCCAGUCUUAGACUCAUAAUCGGACCGUAAACCUGAGCCAGGUUGGCUAAGGAUUUAUGCGGGUGUUUGCCGAGGUUGUGUAUAUUUCCUAUGAGUGGUAAGGGGAAGGGUCCUGGUGGAAGCUUUUGAACAGCUUUCAUAUGAUUUUUUUGUAGUAAGAAGAGUGAAAAGGCCAGCAGUAUGCACAGCACACUGAUCAAAAAGAUCUCCAUAUGCGCUGGUUCUGGUUGAACCUUGACGAAGGGUUAAUAUACUGAUAAACAAUAAAGAAGAUGAGGGUUGGGAUGCUUAUGCAAUUGUGUUAGUUUCUGUUUCUAUUUAUACACAAACAGGACCGGCAGAAAAUAGAAAUCAAUGGUUCCAAUUAAAACAACCUAAAACGUCUAUGUCCAGAAUACUGCUUAAAGAUUUGACACUUCAAUUAUUUCUCAAACAAAUGUUGUUGGCGUCACGCCAUCUCCAACGGUGGAAGCAGUUUUUUAUCUAAAUUUUUGUCCAAAUUUAGACCGAAUUAUCUUUUCAUUUUAACUAUUCGGCCUAAAUUUUGGUCCAAAUUCAUAUACUCCCUCCGUCCCGGUCAAUUCUAUACGGUUUAUUUUUCGGGAUGUCCCAUCAUUUCUAUACAUUCCCAAAAUAGCAAUUUUUUAUAAUAUAAAACACUAUUACACCCACUAAUUUCUUCAGCUAUCUCCAUUCUAUAAUACUAAAAACACUAUUACACCCACCACUUUCCUCCACUAUCUCAAAUCUAUUAUUAAAAAUAAAUGGGUCUCAGCACUUUACCCACUUCUCAUCUAACUUUACUCAAAUCUUACCCUUUUUCUUCGUUUCCGUGUCGAAUCCCAAUGUAUAUUAUUCAUUGGGACGGAGGGAGUAUACAUAUUUUAUUCUUCAAACUUUCUUUUUAUUAUUAUUAUUAUUAUUAUUAUUAUUAUUAUUAUUAUUAUUAUUAUUAUUAUUAUAUUUUAAUAAUAAUAUAAAAUUUCAUAUUAAUCUUAAACUUAUAAAUUUAUUUAAUUAGAAAAACGCUACAUUCAAACAAAGAAAAUCAAAAGAAAUUUAACAUCUUACUAUAUUAACUAAAAAAAAUAAAAGAAAGUUUUAGUUUAUAUUAUGAUUUCUUCUAAGUUGCAGUUUCAAUCAAGUUUUAUCGAGCGUAAUCUCUAUUUUAUGUUUAAUUAAUGUAUUGUUAAUUUGAAUUUAAUAAAUUUAAGAGUCUUUAGUUUUAUUAUAUUUCAGAAUUAAAUAUAAUUUGUAAUUAUUUAAUAAUUAUUCUAACAUAUAAUCAAUCAACUAACUAAAUAUACAAAACAUAAAAGGUUAUUAUUAUAUUAUUAAAAAGAUUUAGGCAAGUGAAUAGGGUUGGCCUCAAUUUAGGCAGGCACCGUUCACCGGUCUAAAUUUAAACCAAGAUUUAGGUCACUAUCGGAAAAAUUUACGUCGAAACUGGUCCAAAUUUGGACCUUUAGCCCCCUGUUGGACUAACAACCAUUUUUUAAUUAAGUUUUGAUUUUUUUUAUUUCAAUCUCAUAAAUAAUGAUAACGUUAUUUCGGUAGUUGUCCCGAUAUUGAUGUGAUUCCACCAAUUAACUCAUGAUUCAACCAUUUAAAUAUAAUUUUUGUUUUUUACGACACUCAUGUGGAUACAUUUUUAUCAUCUCUAAUAAAUUAUUUUUUGUAGCUCUCUUAACUAAUUCUUGAUCCUGCCUCCUUGUACAGAAAUUAUUAACGUUGGUGUUCGUAGAGGUUUGGGUGCUUUAAACGAUUUUUAAAACUGAUGCUCCUAUUUUUCAAGAUCGUAAAUGAAAAUUUUACAUACAUUCAAACUAAUAUACAAUAAUAUAAUAAAAACAUUUAUUUAAAAUUAACACAAUCAAUUAAAGUGCAUGUAAAUAUAUAAAUACAUAGAUUUAUCAUUAUAUGCAAUAGUAGAAUUUUUUGGUACUUGGUACUUUUAUGACAGUGAUGCCCAGGACGUCCAUCUUGGUCGCCAUAACAAGGGCCAGUCCUGGAUGUUUCCGUUGAGAGACUUAUGAAAAUGAACACUUGUUCGUCAUUUAAUACCUUGAGGAUCGAUAGACCUAAGAAUAGGAAAAUAAUCCGCAAAAUUAGGCUUACCGGACUCCAUCAUAAGGAGCCUAAAUGAAGAGCCUCUUGGAGAUGCUCUCUAAUGGAGCUCUUAAACAAGCUCCUAUCCUUCAAUUUAAAGAGCAAAUCAAAAAAUAGUGCUCCAAUGGGCUCCUAGAUGCUCUUUAAAAAUUUAAGAGCCUACCAUCUCUCCACUCUUUUGAAGAGCAUCUAGUAGCUCCUAACUAAUAUUAUAUUAAUUUUUCUCCCACUACACAUUCAACCUUUCUCUCUCUUUUCACUUCUCUCUCUAAUUUAUAUGAAUAAAAUAAGAAUAGAGAGCAUGUUUAAAGAGGAGCAUUGGAGUUGGAAGAUUUUUCAAUGUAGAGCAUCUCCAAUAGUCUCUUAGUUGGCUCCUAUGUAUAAUAUAAAAUAUUAAGCUCCUAGUAAGUUAGUACAUUGUUAGGAGUUUGAACUCCAAUAAUGCUCUUUAUACUCACUCUUAACAUUAUAUUUUAUUAUUAUUUGAACUCCACUAUGAUAAAAGUACAAAGUCACAUGGGUGAUAGUGAAUAUUAUAUUACAAAAAACAAGUUAAGAGCCUUGUAGUGGCUCCUAAAAGAGAGGAGAGAGAAGGGCCUCUUAGUAUUUUUAAGAGCCAUUAAGAGCCUAUUGGAGCUCUAUUUUCUCUUAUCCUCUUUACUUUUGGUUUUAAGAGCCACUUUAAGAGGUUAUUGGAGAUGCUCUUAACUCACUAAGAGCCACAUAUUAUAUUAUAUUUUAAAAAGUGAUUUAAGAGCACCAUUGGAGAUGCUCUAACUUGAGAUUUGAGGAGGGAGAGAAAAAAUGUUGCUCCAAGAGACUCUUAAGUGGCUCUUAAAUCACUAAGAGCCUCUUGUUUCUCUCUCCUCUCUCCUCAAAGUUAAGAGCCACCACAUUAUUCCUAACUUAUUUUUUCACAAUAAAAAAAUCCUUCAUUCCACUUCACCUCCAUCUUUUCAUCUCUUUUGUUAUAGUGGAGCCCAAUAUAUGAAUAAAAUAUGAAAUAGAGAAGAGAUGUAGAGAGUAUUAUUGGAGCCACAUUUUUUAUAUUAUAUUUAGGACCCAACAAAGAAGCUCUUGGAGAUGCUCUAAUGCUCCACACCGUUUCCUUAAACUCCUUAGCUACAUUCCCAUGAUACGGAUCUGCCAUAUCCUUGGAAAACAUGGUAUUAGACAAAAGAUUAAGCGCGGUCUGAAAAGCAGCACGACCAAUAUCUACAGCCUCCCCACUUUCGCUACACUUAGUAAUGUAUCCAACAAGCUCCUGCACCUUGUUUGUUCGAAGAUGAUGAUUUGCAUCCAGCUUGCUAGUAGUAAAAAUAUAAGUGCUAAUAAUUUUUGUCAUCUGUAGCCUCAUUCUUAUCAGUGGUGUUUACAGGGCCGACUUUAGAGAUUUGGGUGCUCUAGACGAUUUUUGAAACUGAUGCUCCUAUUUUUUCAAGAUCAUAAAUGAAAAUUUUACUUACAUUCAAAUCAAUAUACAAUGACCAUACAAAAAAAAAAAGUUCAAUAUACAAUAAAAUCAUAUAAAUAUUGGUUUAAGAUUAACACAAUCAAUUCAAAUGCAUGUAAAUAUAUAAAUACAAAAAUUUAUCAUUAAAUACUACAUAUGCAUGAAUUUGUUGAUGUCCUAGGAUAGUGUGUCCAAGAUCCGUUGAGAGAUUUAAGAGUCAUCCAGAUAGUUCACAACCUUCGUGACAACAACCAUAAUCUGCAACGUACUUCCGAAAGCCAUAGUUAUUGCUCUCCAAACACUAACCAUAGAUUAGGACACUCUUGGGGGCAUGGCCCUGAUGUAGCUCUGUUGUAGACUGAUAUAUAAUACAGAACAUCAGAGCCCGUUUUGGUGUGUGGAAAAACUAAACCUUACUCCCAGAGGCGGAUCUUAGAAGGGGUAAGAGGGGGCAACUGACCCCCCUUAAUUUUUAUUUUUUUUAAUAUUAUACAUAUUUUUAGGUUGUAAAAUUGAAAUUGACCCCCUUAAUUUUUUUGUGACCCCUUUUAUUUUUUUUUACAAAAAAAUUGACCCCCCUUAACUUUAUAGUCAGAUCCGCCACUGCUUACUCCGUUAUUUAGAAACGCUAAUAAACUUACUGGUGUAGGAAAUGACAAAUAUGAGAAAGAAAAAUGCUCAUACUACAAGAUUAUUAUUAUAAUAAUUGUCCAAUAGUUAGAGAGCUGAAGUCAAGCUAUAUUUGUUUUUCAUAAAUUUGGUCACAAAAGAUGUGUCGUUUUUGUAUAAUUAAGAAGUAGUUAUUUGGUAGUUAUCUAUUCUGUUUUGAGAAUCGAAUCCAACCACAGUUUAUUGGGAGUAUGGAUAAACUGAAGGUUCUCAUUGUCACAAAUUAUGGGUCUUCCUUCUCUAAGCUAGACAACUUUUAUUGUCUUGGAAGUUUACCCAUUCUAAGGUGAAUCAGAUUAGAACGAUCGAGUUUCAUUAUCUUCCCUUAACACGUCCUCAAUCGAGUUGGUGAACCUGCAGAAGAUAACUUUUACAAUGUGUGAGAUCGGCGAGGCAUUUGAGAAUGGUACUAUAUAUGGACCUCCCUCGCAUCUUCCCUAAUCAUCUGGAACUUGAGAUUGACUGUUGUGAUGACUUGAUGAAAUUGCAUGCUGGAAUCUGUAAUGUUGUCAGUCUUAAGAAGAUCUGCAUCACUUACUGCAAUGAGCUAUCUUUGCUUCCAGAGGAGAUCGGCAGGCUCAGAAAUCUUGAAGUCUUGAGGCUCAAUUCUUGUACAAAGCUAUUAGAGUUGCCAGAGUCAAUUGGAAACCUCCAAAAAUUAACAGUUCUUGAUAUAUCUGAUUGCUUAAGCAUAAGUAAUUUGCCUAGAACAGUAGGUGAGUUGUGUGCUUUAAAAAAGUUCCACAUGAGAGGUUGCGAAGGAUUGUCAGACCUACAUAAGCUUCCCUCAUCUGUAAAAGAUCUGACGCUAUUAGAGAAGGUGAUAUGUGAUGAAGAAGCUAGUCAUCUAUGGAAAACAUAUCGAAGCCAUUUGAAAAAUCUGGUAGUCGAAGAGGUAAAAGAAGAUGCAUUUGAAAGCCUUAUGAGGGUCAUCUAACCAAUUCAGCAUUGUUGACACAGCAAAAGAAUGUUGUACAGCGUUUAGAUUUCUGAAAUCAGAACUUCUGAUUGUAUACUACUGGCAAGUGGCAACACUUGGGUUUUCAUUGUUAUUCAUAGAUAUGUGUAAAUUCUAUAGAGUGUAGUAACAUGUCAUUCAGAAAAUCUCCAGGUUUCCAGAUGCUAAUGUAUUUAAAGUUGGUUAAAGACACAUAUCCAUGUAAGCUUGAAAAGUACGUCAAUAAUUAGUUCUCUUGUGUUGGGACAGGAACUCAAUGUGGUGCAUGCAAUUGAAACUUUUGUUUUUGGUUGAGCUAUGAUUUGGUUUGUUAUUCACAUAAUUAUCCUGUUCUCUAUUUUGUCAGAAUUGGUUUUAUUAAGUUUGUAAGAAUGUAAGUGCAUUUGCUCAAUUUAGUGUCUUUGAUUCAAGUGUGAAAGUCCAUGCCUUCUCGAGCUUUUAGCAUAAACGUUCCGUGACCAAGCCGCUUAAGAGGGAGUGAGGGACAGUCCGAGAAAGAAAUUAUAACAUCCAGUCCACAACCAUAUGUAUAUAUAUCCGUUUAUUGACUCGUAGUAUCUAUUAAUGGUUUAAAGCUAUCCCUUAUUGUAGAUUCGAAGUCCGAAUUCACACACAAACUUCUAGAAUCUGGUGUCUCUGCACUUCCAGCUGGACCAAAUUCUCAUACUCUCUCCGUCUCAAUUUAUAGGUCCCUUUUGGACAAAAAAUUUGUCCCACAAUACUUGUCCCUCUCUUUUUUCAAUACAAAUUUAUUUCUAUAUUAAUUAUAAAUUUUUUGAAACUCAACAUUAUUCUCAUUUCUCAAUGCACUAAAUCUCUAUAUUUAUUGUGAUUUUUUUGAAACUCAAUUAUAUUCUCCCUUAUCAAUGUACUAAUUAAUGAUAUAUGAGAUAAAAUUAUAUCUAAUCAACUACUUUUUUCUUAAUAUGCGUGUUUAUUCCAAAAAGGACCUAUAAAUUGAGACGGGGAGUACCAUUUAUAAUAUACAAGCCAAGCUCACAAUUAGAUACGUACAGGGUCCCGACAAACCAACAAACCAUCACAAGUCGAUCUAAAAUUAAUCAGAGGUUUGCCCAAAAUUUUAGUAAAUUCUACAUCCGUUAUUAACUUGUAUCUAUACAAACUUCUUAUUCUAAACGGUGUCCAUGUUACAGAAAUGCUCACAAAUGUUUAUUAUGAAAGACGCUAGAGGACUAACUUCGCAGAAAGCCAUUCCUUUUAUUACAUCGUAUCUGACUGUACCCCCUUGAAAUGUAUUGGCAUUUUUAGUUUGUAUAGUAUUUUUUUUCCUUCUCAGUUUGAUAACUCAAAUUUAUGAGUAAAAUUGGAUGUGAUAUGAUAUAGAUGGUACAUUACAUCUGACAUGUUUUAAAUUUGAAAACAGAUUUACGUGUUCAACUUCGCUGUAAUGAACCCAUAAGUGAAGAAUUCCCUUCAGCCAAAUUCAUAUGUGAUGUAUGAAUCACAAUAAUAGUUGCCAGCAGUGUGAUCGCCAAUGUGCUCUACUUUGCAAAACAUUUCAAAAUUCUUCAAAGGUGAUGUUGAAGAUUGCGUGUUUGGUAAAGUUUUCCAUAAAAUUCAACGCCGAUGUCUUGUACAUACAAGUUACUCCCUCCGUCGUUUUCCUAGAUCUUUUGGUUGUCACUUUUUAACGUAAUUUAAUGUGAUUAAAAGGUAUAUUUUCAUAUUUUUUUUAAAUUAAAAUUUAUAGUUUAUAUUUUAUUCAUAAAAAUAUUUUAAGAAUAAUAAAUAAAAAUAUAUUUUUAAUUAUUUUAAAUUACAUGUAAAAUGUUAGAAUGACAGGUGAAAAAGAACUUAUAAUAUAUAAAAGUCAUGCCGACUAGCCAUAACAAAGUCCUUCUUCACAUUGACAUUUAUCUCAACUCCAAGAAGCCUGCCAGGAUUUCUUCUUCACCGACCUUGAAAUUUUUGAUGAGCUCGUUUAUUAUGUUUGUUGCUUUCGACAACAUAAAUUUUCCAUAGAUUUCACCGUAAAUGUAAUAUCUUAAAGUAAAAUUCUGGAUAAAAUCAUUAUUGCGUUUGGUAUUUUCGUCAAACCAUNAAAUUAGAUAUUAAAAUUAUAAGAUAUAAUAUAUAUAUAUAUAUAUAUAUAUAUAUAUAUAUAUAUAUAUAUAUAUAUAUAUAUAUUUUCAUAUCAUAAACAUAUCUUAGUUUAAAUAUUAUUGCACAAAGUAAAUUCAUAUAUUUAAUUAGCUAAUAAUAUACCCUCAGUGUUUGAUUCAGCUUCUUUUCUCAUGUAUUCACUUAUUCCACCCAUUUGUUUAUAUAUACCGGACACCAAAACUAAUAAAAUUAUAUAUAUAUAUAUAUAUAUAUAUAUAUAUAUAAUAUAUAUAGUUAAGUUCUAUGGAGUACAAAAAAAAUUGGAGUAUUGGAGUACAAAGUUUGAUAAAAUGUAAUCUAGUCAUCUAAAUUUCAAUUUUUUUUGUCCAAUAAUAUUUGUAAAUAUUUGACAACCUGCACAUUAUGUUCUGCAACAUAAACAUCGUGAUCAAAUGGUAGAAUAAUUACUUUUAUAAAUCAUAGGACUCUAUGUUCUGCAAUAUAACUAAUAAGCAGAACAAUAAUCUUAAUACUUGUUAAAGUUGAAAGAUAUUAAUGAUUAAUUGACAAUUAUGUGCAAGACAACUUAUAAAUGAUAGAUUAUAUCAAAAUUUGGAUAAUCAAAGAUAUUAUAUAGGAUCAAACUAAAAAAUUAUGAUUUGUACUCCAAUACUCCAAUGUUUUUAUGUACUCCAUAGAACUUAACUCAUAUAUAUAUAUAUUAUAGAUUUAGUUAAUUUUAACCUAUCUUUCUCUUUGUUUUUUUUACUUUUUUAUCCUAUUCAAUUGUUUAUAUUUAUGCACGACGAUUCGUAAAAUUUUACAAAAUAGCAUAAAAUCGAAAGAAAAGUUUAUUAAUGAAAUGUUUAUCUGAUAGAUUAAAAAAAAUGAAACAAAACAGUGGAUGAGAUUAAUUUUUUUUUUUUUUUUUGCUAGUUGAUGAGAUUAAUUUUUGUAUUAUAUUCUUUCCAUCUUUUAUAUGAAACCAUGACUAUUAAAACAUACUUUCAAGUGAUUUAAUUGCAUAAUUAUUUUUUUUACAAAUGUUUUUGUGUAUAAAGAUACAUAAUAAAAAAUUUAAUUAAAAAAAGUCAAAAUUUAUUAUUUUUAUUAAUCAUUCAAAGCACUUAAUAAGUGUAAAAACGGAGAGAAUAAAAGCUAAUAUUUUAGUCAAAUGUUAAGAAUUUAACAGAAAAUUAAGAAAAAAAAUGUAAAGAAUUUCGAGACAACAAGUAUUAUUCUAAUUGUCCAAUACUAAGAGAGUUGAAGUCAAGCUAUAUUUAUUUUUCUUAAAUUAGCCUUGUGUAAUUAAGAAGUAGUUAUAUGUUAAUUAUAUAUUUUGUUUUGAGAGUCGACUCUCGCAAUUAGACUUUUAGUUCUCAUUUUUUUGAAUUUUCAUCCUCUCAUCAAUUAAGCCUUCUUCCCCGUAUCAUCAUUUUUCUAUUUAUCAGCUUUUCAAUAAAACUAAAAUCUAUUUUUUUAUUUUUUUUGGUGAGAUCUUAUUAAAUACCUUGUUAUCAAGGUUGUAGUGGUCCCAUAUUUUUGAGAAGUUAGUAUGCUAUGUUUUGAAAUUUUGUUUAUCGUUUAUGAAUUUUUCUGAAAAGGAUUUAUAAGAUUUUUUCGGUGAUUUAUAAUACUCGUAUUGAUUCUAGGUAGGUGAUGAAUAUGGCAAGAGCACAUUUUUUGCAACAAAAAUGUAUGGGGGUCAUAUAGUCACUUUUAAUUGUCAUAGUAUUUUCAUAAAUAUUCUUAAAAGUUAUAAAAUUACAAAAAAGUUAAAAAAACAUAGUAUUUGAUAAGCUCCUUUAUAAUAUCAAUUUUGUUAACAUAUAUAAAUUUUAAUUUAAUUCCUAAUUUAAAAGUUAAAUUAUUAUUUCUUAUAUCUCCCCUUUCUUUUCCCCGAAAACUUUAAUUAUGUAAUAUAUCUAAAAGCAAUAACAAACAAACUGAGAUAGACAUCUUUGUUUCAAAUAUGCAUUAUUGGUACUUUAAUUUUUUUUUUUAGAAAAUCAAUAUUUUGAGUGUAUAAAAUUUCAAAAGGAUUAGAUUUACUUUUUAUAAUAUAUCCUCUUUAUGUGACAAAUUUGUUUUAUUUAUAUAGACAGAUGUGCUUUGUCUGUUUUCUUAAAACAGGGCAAGGAAAUAUUACAUCCACGUAAAAAAUUUCUUAAAAUUUAGUCAAAUUUAUCCAUAAAUAUACAUAACUCCAAGGUCAAUAACCGUUGUGAAAGUACGACACUAUACUGGUUUAAUGGAGAGUAUAUCACAUGCAACCUGAAGUCUAAACGAUCUCAAUCGCUUGGGUCACAUAAUUAUCACAAAAGUCAAAAAUCAUGAAUCAUCUUUACAACAUUGGGAUCCGCUGUACAUCUAAAGAACAUACUUUUACUCGUAUUACUUAAAAAAGUUAUUUUUCACUUAUAAAUAAAAUUUCACUAAUUAUAAGAAAUAAACUCUUGUUUUAAAUUAAACUAAACUAAACGACUCCUUAGAUAAAUUUAUAGACAGUUUUUAUACUUUUAUAGAAUGCAAUGAAAUGCAGGUUGAACAAAAUGUUUAUAUUAAAUGUUAAUUAGAUUAAAUAUAACGAGUUUAUGAGUUUUUGAAAUUAAGUUCUAAUUACAUUCAUAUUUAGGUUUAAAAAAGUAGUAUAGAUGUUAAUCUUUAAAUUAUACUGUGUUAAUUAUCUAAUCAAAGUAUCUCUUUUGAUUAGAAUUUAAUUUAUUAAAUUAGUGUAGGUUAAUUAAUGUUCUUACACUUUUUUGUUAAUAUUCCAGGAUAUUAUUAGUUCUACUCUCAUAUGUAAAUAUUUUAUUAUCAAAAUGUUCAAAAAUACUUUUUAAUGUGAAUCCGUUAUAUGAUAUUCAUCUUGAACGAAAAACCUCUUUCUUUAUAAAUAAUUGAUUCACGUGAAAAUGAUUAAAUGAUCAAAGAAAGACGGAAGAUUUGCCGACCAAAGAAACCGAGACGUGUAAAUUGUAGUAACGUUGUUUGACUUUAUCUUACGCAUUCUUCUGUCGAUUCCAGAAACAGAAAGGUCAAUUAUUGGCGGGGCACUAGUCACAUUUGUAUGAUAGUGUCACUAUUCGAUAAGCUUCAUUUAGAAAUUACAAAAUCUGCCGACUCCUUGCUCUGCAAUUGGGGUCCCUUCGUGGUUUCCCCUCAAACUUCCAAAAUGCAUUCACAAUUAUAAUUUAUGUACGUUAACACCUUCAAACUCAAAAUAAGUAUAUUAAUUAAAUUUAUUUCAAAAAAAAAAGAAAAAAAGUAUAUUAAUUAAAUAAUACUUCUUUAAUUGAUUAAUUUUGUUAUAAAAAAUAAUAACUUAUAAAACAUGUAUUGGUGAUUUAUAAUAGUAUAUAUAUACUCCUUACGUUUGGUUUGGGAAUGGAGAUUAAGAAAUAAGUGUAAAGUAGUGGAAAAGAGAAAGAAAAAUGUAUGAUGUGGUGAGAGCUAUUGAUUUUUAAUGUAUAAAAGAGAGAUAGGGGAGUAAAAGUGAUGUAAAAAUGGAGGAAAAAUGAGUAAGUGAUGGAACCCAUUGAUUAUUUUUGGUAAGGUUUGAAAUGUAUGGGACAUCCUAAAAAGGAAACGGUAAAGAAAUGAUUAGCACAUGAGGGAGUAUAUUUUUUUAUUAAAUAUAUUGAAUAUUUAUUUUUAUUUUGAAGAUAAAAUUAUGUUCAAGUAAUAUGAAUCUUUAAGUUUCUUUUUUUUGAAGUAAUAAAUCUUUAAGUUAAGAUAGUUUUUUAAUAAAUAAUAAAUGUGUGGUUAAUAUUUUUAUAUAUGUUAAACAAAUAUUUUCAUGUAACAUAUUAAGUAAAUUCUUAAUAUUUUUUUUUUGAUAAAAAAGAAUCAAUUCAUUAAUCAAAAGCCAUAGACAAUCUACAAAUAUAAUCAAAAUUGGACAAACGCUAAAUUAUAUCACUGUUGAAAUUUUCUUUGUUGGAGAGAUAACUAGCUUUGAAAAUGAUUUAAAAUAUAUGUACUUUUUUCACCCAAUUGAUUUUCACUCGACUAUUCUCAAUAAUCAACCAUAAAUACGAUUUCAUAAUAACCUUCGAAUCUAAAUAAACUCAUGAAAAUCAUGCUGAUAUAUAACCUUGGUAGGGAGAACAUCGAAACACACCAAACCGAAAAUCAACAUAAAAUUCAAAUAAAUUGAGAACUCAUUGAAAGGUAACCAAGAUUUCAAACAAGAAAACGGAAAAAAAAAAUUGAGACGGGCGAAAACCGAUGGAAGUCCCUUCAAAUUUUUUUAAUGGAAGCUAGGGUUUGAGGGAGUGAGAGUUGGGAAUGAUACGAAGGAAGUUAGUAUAUAAAUUCUUAAUAUUUAAACCCGUUAAGAAGAUUGAUCCUAAGAAAUAUGAUAACUGGGAACAUUUCUAUGAGUUCUAAUAAUAAUGAUUAUUAAACAGAUUCAAUUAAACAUGUUACAAAUUGAAUAGGUUCGUAUAUAUAUCCAUGUACCCUAAUAAAUUCAGCUAAAUCUGUAGUAGUUGUUUUUGUGUAAUUCUAGUUCAUAAAAUUACUGGGCAGAUUGGUUACAGCUUACUUUGUCUGUGGUCAGUAAUGAAUACAUGCCCUGCUUUAGUAACGUAAUUUUGCGAUUAAUAUUGUGUUAAUAGAUCAGCUCUUCUUUUAAGAGUUGUGUUAAUAGAGCAUAUUAAUGAUUAUAGUAUUUGUCAACCAGCACUCAAUUCCAACUGAGAAAAUAACUCUGUGACAGCUUAAGAAGUUGAAAAUAAUUCAAAUACAUAGCUCCAACUUUAAACAACAGUAAAACAUAUAGUCAUAGAGUGCAAGUGUGCACGAACAUGCAGACAUUAUUAACUAAGGAACAACAGGAGUUGCUACAGCACGAAGCGGGUGAAGCUUGGCCAGAGUGAUCCCAAACUUAUCCUCCAUGUCCAAAUCUCCUGGUGCAAUCCCACCUUCAAGUUUCCAGUCAAAACAAUUUAUGAGGGAUCCCACCAUCAUGGGCACCAUUCUCAUAGCCAGGGGCAAUCCAGGACAUUUCCUGCGACCCGCGCCAAAGGGAAUCAGCUCGAGAUCAUGCCCAUACACAUCAACUUUGGAGUCCAUGAAUCUCUCUGGCUGGAAUGACAGUGGAUUUUCCCAUAGCGUGGGAUCGCGUCCGAAAGCCCAUACAUUCACCAGCACUUGAGAAUUCUUGGGAAUUAUAUAGCCACUUAAUUCAACAUCUUCUGUCACUUGGCGUGGUAGUAAGAAGGGAACUGGUGGGUGCAACCUUGCACUCUCUUUCACAAUGCAUUGCAAAUAAGUCAACUUAGAAAUGUCUGCUUCUUCUACCAUCUUGCCUUUUCCGAUCACUUGAUUCAGCUCAGCUUUCGCCUUGGCCAAUACCGUUUCUGGUUUUCUUAAGACCUCAGCCAUCGCCCAUUCCACUGUACCUGAAGUCGUAUCUGUUCCUGCAAUGAACAAAUCCUGCCCAAGUAUAUAAUUGUUAGAAUACUGAUAAGUACUCCUCCUAGCACUUUCAGAUUUUCGAAGAAUCGAUUACAUAACAUGGUAUCAGAGCUCUCUUAUAUACUCCCUCCGUCCCAGCCAAUUGUAGCCAAUUGUUUACGUUCGGUUUGGGCACGGAGGUUAAGAAAUAUGUAAGUAGUAAAAAAGAGAAAGAAAAGUGGGUAAAAUAGUGGGACCUAUUAAUUUUUAAUGUAUGAAAGGGAGAUAGCGUUAAGAAAUAUGUAAGUAGUAAAAAAGAGAAAGAAAAGUGGGUAAAAUGGUGGGACCCAUUAAUUUUUAACGUAUAAAAGGGAGAUAGCGGAAUAAAAGUAGCGUGAAAACGGAGGAAAGAUUGGGACAUGAUUGGACCCAUAUUUUUGGUAAGUUUUGUAAUAUAAAGAACUGGAAAAGACAUCCCAAAAAGGAAACCGUAAAUAAUCUGGUGGGACGGAGGAGUAUACUAUAGAACAAAUCACUUAUAUACACAAGGAAAAAUUAUCUUACAGUGAGCAAGUGAUUGGCGUGUCGUUUCUCAAUUUCAUUUGUUCGCAACAAUUUUAACAGUUCGUCCAGCACAUCUGUACUAGUACUGUCCUCAGAGUCCCCCAACUUCUUUAGCUCCAAACGCUCAUUUACCAUACCAUCAAACAACUUGAUUACCUUUCCAAAACCAACACUUGAUCGUCCUCUGAUACCUUGAGGAUCGAAAGACCUAAGAAUAGGAAAAUAAUCCACAAAAUUAGGCGUACCUGCCUCCUUCAUAAUAUUCCACACCGUGUCCUUAAACUCCUUAGUGUCACUCCCAUGAUACGGAUCUGCCAUAUCCUUGGAAAACAUGGUAUUCGACAAAAGAUUAAGCGCAGUCUGAAACGCAGCACAACCAAUAUCUACAGCCUCCCCCCUUUCGCUACACUUAUUAACGUAACCAACAAGCUCCUGCACCUUGUUCAUUCGAAGAUGAUGACUUGCAUCCAGCUUGCUUGUAGUAAAAAUAUGAGAGCUCAUAAUUUUUCUUAGAUUCCUCCACUGACUUCCAACAGGCAACCAUGCAACCGAGGACUUGAAAUGGUCGCGAGCACGUAUAGCAUCGGGCAGGGGCCGAGUAGAGAAGGCCAGGUCUUGCUUUUGCAGGACUUCUCGAGCUGCAGUCGGUGAAGUGAUCACUAUGGUGGUUAUACGUCCCAGUCUUAGACUCAUGAUCGGGCCGUAAACCUUAGCCAGUUUGGCUAAGGAUUUAUGCGGUUGUUUGCCGAGGUGGUGUAUAUUUCCUAUUAGUGGCAAGGGGGAUGGUCCUGGUGGAAGCUUUUGAACAGCUUUCACAUGAUUUUUUCGUAGUAAGAAGAGUGAAAAGGCCAGCAGUAUGCACAGCAAACUGAUCAAAAAGAUCUCCAUAUGCGCUGGUUCUGGUUGAACCUUGACGAAGGGUUAAUAUACUGAUAAAAAUAGGAAGAUAUGGGUUGGGAACUUGGGAUGCUUAUGCAAUUGUGUUGGUCUCUGUUUCCAUUUAUACACAAACAUGGCCGACAGAAAAUAGAAAUGAAUGGCUCCAAUUAAAACAACCUAAAAUGUCAAUGUCCAGAAUACUGAUUAAAGAUUUUACGGCUCAAUUAUUUCUCAAAUACAUUUCGCAGGCAUAACAACCAUUUUUUAGUUAAGUAUCGGAUUUUUAUUGGUUUUAAUCUCAUUAAUAGUGAUGACGCUAUUUGUGAUAGCUGUCUUGACAUUAAUGUGAUUCCACCAAUUAAGUCCCGAUUAUCUAAUUGAUUGCUAAACGGUGAUUCAACCGAUUAAUCCUAAUUUAGGUUUUUUUACAAUACUGGUGUGGAUUUUUAUCAUCUCUAGCCUCCUCGUACAUGAAUUCUUAUCGUUUGUGUUUACAAGGCCGAAUCUAGAAAUUUGGGUGCUCUAAACCAUUUUUGAAACUGGUGCCCUUAUUUUUCAAGAUCGUAAAUGAAAAUUUUACAUACAUUUAAAUUCAAUAUACAAAGAAAUCAUAAAAACAUUGGUUUAGGAUUAACAUAAUCAAUUCAAAUGCAUGUAAAUAUAUAAAUACAUAAAUAUAUCAUUAUAUACUACAUAUGUAUAGAUUUUUUAAUGCCCUGAGAUAGUGAUGGUCAAGACGUUCGUCUUGGUAUGCCGACCAAGGGCCAUUCCUGUGUGUUUCUAGUGAGGGAUUUAAGAGUCAACCAGAUAGUUCACAACCUGGUUGGUGACCAAAGACCAUUCCUGGAUGUUUCUGUUGAGAGAUUUAAGAGUCAGCCAGAUAGUUCACAACCUUCGUAACAACCAUAAUCUGCAACGUACUUCUGAAAGCCAUGGCCAUUGCUCUCCAAACACUAACCAUAAAUUAGGACAAUCUUGGGGGCAUGGCCCUGAUAUAGCUCUGUUGUAGACUGAUAUAUAUAUAUAUAUAUUAAUACAGAACAUCACAGCCCGUUUUGGUGUGUAAAAAACUAAACCUCACUCCUUAAUUUGAAAACGCUAAUAAACUUAAGGUUUGUCUAGUAUGUGCCAUGAGACUGAAUUCUAUAAAUUUGGGACAUUUUGAUUGGUGUGUUUAUUGUAUUUGCAUGGGUUCCACAAAUAAUAAGAAAUAGGAGCCAAUUAAAAUGAGUAAAACUUGUAAUUUCUAGUGUUUAGCAUGUGCCAUGAGCACACUGGAAAAACCGAUAAACUUAUUGGUGUAGAAAAUGGCAAAUGAGAAAACAAUCAAAGUGACUGCAACCAAACUGUCUUGGACCAUUGUCAGAUCUAGAAGAUUGUGACAUGUAUAUUAUAUUAUUAAAUCCCAAAAUUUUUUGUCAGUAUUUGGGUAAAAUUAUGAGCUUAUUUAUAUAAUAAAAAACUAAUUUUUAUAUUUCCUAACUAAAAAAAAUUCAAAUUUUUAAUAAUAAUAUUGGACAACAUAGCAAUUAACUUUUUUAACAAAAUCAGAUUCCUAACUAAAAACUCGAUUUCUAAAAAUAACACAUGCAAUAUACAUUAAAAAAUGAAAUAUUAUUAUAUAUAAUUAUUAAUAUACAACUAAUGAUAUAUUUCAACUAAUGUUAUUUUUAAUUACUCCAUGUUAUCAAUUUAAUAUCAUGGAUCCAUACAAUCCAUUUAUACUAUCCUGUACAAUAAUAAUAAUAUUAUUAUUAUCAUCAUUAUUAUUUUUAUAUUAAAAAUGAAAUAUUAAUAAUUUAAUUGGUUAGUCGAAUUUUAUCUGCCGACUAGUAUUAUUCAUAUGGGUCUCCUUAAUAUAUAAUGUUUCCAAUAAAUCAUUUUAUUAUAAAUAAAGCCAAAAAUUUUAAAAAUUCGGUUAAUAUGAUCGAUUUGUAUGUCAAUUAAAUUUAAACUAUAGAAGACAAAUUUAUAGAUGUUAAAAAUCACUAUACGGGUUAUAAGCUGGUGAUGAUUAAAAAGCAAUUAUUAAAAGUAUAAUUUUUAAACAAUGAUAAACAUACAGUCUUAGAGUGGCAUGUAAAAAAAAGUAGUCGUCACGGAACAACAAGAGUUGCUAGAGCACGAAGGGGAUGAAGCUUGGCCAGAGUGAUCCCGAACUUAUCCUCCAUGUCCAACUCCCCUGCUGCAAUAUCACCUUCAAGUUCCCAGUCAAAACAAUUUAUGAGGGAUCCCACCAUGAUGGGCACCAUCCUCAUGGCCAGGGGCAAUCCAGGACAUUUCCUUCGACCCGCGCCAAAUGGAAUCAGCUCGAGAUCAUGCCCAUACACAUCAACUUUGGAGUCCGUGAAUCUCUCCGGCUGGAAUGACAGUGGAUUUUCCCAUAGGGCAGGAUCGCGCCCAAAAGACCAUACAUUCACCAGCACUUGCGAAUUUUUGGGAAUUAUAUAGCCACUUAAUUCAACAUCUUCUGUCACUUGGCGUGGUAGCAAGAAGGGAACCGGUGGGUGCAACCUUGCACUCUCUUUCACAAUGCAUUGCAAAUAAGUCAACUUAGAAAUGUCUGCUUCUUCUACUAUCUUGCCUUUUCCGAUCACUUGAUUCAGCUCAGCUUUCGCCCUGGCCAAUACUGUUUCCGAUUUCUUUAAUACCUCAGCCAUCGCCCAUUCCACUGUACUUGAAGUCGUCUCUGUUCCUGCAACGAACAAGUCCUGUCCAAGUAUAUAAUUUGUGACUUUAAUCAAUUCGGAUAUCAUGAUUUGUAUGAUUAUGACAAAAAAGCAAUUGACAAAAAUCCUUAUAUAUCCUAUAGAACAAAUCACUUAUUAUCUUACCGUGAACAAGUGAUUGGUGUGUCGUCUGUCAAUUUCAUUUGUUCGCAACAAUUUCAGCAGUUCGUCGAGCACAUCUAUACUAAGAUUGUCCUCAGAGUCCCCCAAUUUCUUCAGCUCCAAACGCUCAUUUACCAUACCAUCAAACAACUUGAUUAACUUUCGAAAAUGAACACUUGUUCGUCGUUUAAUACCUUGAGGAUCGAUAGACCUAAGAAUAGGAAAAUAAUCCGCAAAAUUAGGCUUACCGGACUCCAUCAUAAUGCUCCACACCGUGUCCUUAAACUCCCUAGCUACAUUCCCAUGAUACGGAUCUGCGAUAUCCUUGGAAAACAUGGUAUUAGACAAAAGAUUAAGCGCGGUCUGAAAUGCAGCACAACCAAUAUCUACAGCCUCCCCCCUUUCGCUACACUUACUAACGUAACCAACAAGCUCCUGCACCUUGUUCGUUCGAAGAUGAUGACUUGCAUCCAGCUUGCUAGUAGUAAAAAUAUACGAGCUCAUAAUUUUUCUUAGGCUCCUCCACUGAUUUCCAACAGGCAACCAUGUAACCGAGGACUUGAAAUGGUCGCAAGCACGUAUAGCAUCGGGUUGGGUCCGAGUAGAGAAGGCCAGGUCUUGCUUUUGGAGGACUUCUCGAGCUGCAGUCGGUGAAGAGAUGACUAUGGUGGUUAUGCGUCCCAGUCUUAGACUCAUGAUCGGACCGUAAACAUGAGCCAGGUUGGCUAGUGAUUUAUGCGGGUGUUUGCCGAGAUUGUGUAUAUUUCCUAUGAGUGGCAAUGGGGAGGGUCCUGGUGGAAGCUUUUGAACAGCUUUGACAUUGUUUCUUUGUAGUAAGAAGAGUGAAAAGGCCAGCACUAUGCAGAAAAAACUGAUAAAAAAGAUCUCCAUAUGCCCCGGAGAGGUGAAAAUAGUGAUGAAAAGGUAAAGAAGAUGAUGGUUUGGAUGCUUAUGCGAUUGUAGUAGUUUCUGUUUCUAAAUUACACCCCACACGACCGACUGCAAAAAUAGAAAUGUCAUUAAAUGAGUGGUUCUUGUUAAAACACCUAAAACGUCUAUCUCUAGAACUAGGGCUGUUCACGAACCGAGCCAAGCCGAGUUUUGACCGAACCGAGCCGAGCUUUAAUUUUUUUUCUGACGAGCCGAGCCGGGCCGAGCUUUUUUAUCGAACAAAAAUUGUGUUCAAGCUCGGCUCGUUAACUAACGAGCCGAACACGAGCUUGUUCGCGAACAAAUACAAGCCGAGCCGAGUCGAAUCGAGUCGAGCCGAGCCAGAAAAAAAAUAAGGACAAACCGCUAGUUGACUCUUAAAAUAGCUAACCAAAUAAUUUUAAUUUUUUUUAAACUUUGUUUAUAUCACUAAAAUGUAUAUAUGUUAACAUCCAUACGGUUAGAUCGGUAAGAAAUAUUUUUUAAAAUAUUGAAACACUAAAUUAGGAUUAAACACUAGUUAGCGGUACUAGUUAACCUUCUACUUGACUGUUAAAAUAGCAAACCAUAUAAAAUUAUUAUUUUCCGAAAUUUUGGUAACAUCACGAAAAUAUAUAUAUAUAUAUAUAUAUAUAUAUUAAUUAUAUGUUGAAUUCUGAGUUUAAUAACAUAUAUAAAUUAUAAAAAAAAACCCGAAAAUAUUACAUUUUUUCGAGUUUUAAUGAGCCGAGCUCGAGCCGAGCGAGCUCGAGCCGAACAUACUAAAAGCUCGGCUCGAGCUCGUUUACUUAACGAACAAUUUUUUGUGUUCGAGCUCGAGCUCGUUAACUUAACGAGCCGAGCCGAACGAGCUCUUAACGAGCCGAGCUCGAGCUUGUUCGCGAACAGCUCGGUUCGUUAAACAGCCCUAUCUAGAACACUGAUUAAGAUUCGACAGUUCAAUUAUUUCUCAGAAAGCUACAGUGGCCGCUGACCAAGGGGCUCGGAGCGGAGAUAUUGUUUCAACACGGCUACAGCGACAGGAUAGCAACUAGGCAGAAAAAUAAAAUCAGAGAAUAGAUUGUUUUGGAUACUACAAUGUCAGAGCCACGUGAAGCGAUAGAAUAAUGAGUUAAGGCUUCAAUGAGUAAGAUACCCGAAAAUGUCCCUUUACUGUGAGGGAAUUAAACAAAACUUUCGAUUUUGUCACCAGUAUAAAAAAGCUCCAACCCCAUGGAUAUAGACUUGGAUGAUAUAUAAAUAUAAGAGUUUAAUAACAAAUUCAUUGCUUAAUUUUUUAUCAGUUUUGAUUUGGUUAUAAGAUAAUUUUAAUUUUAAAUUAAUUAAACUAAAAAAAUAAAAACAGUCAUUUAAUUUAUAUGCUUAUAAAAAUAUAAAAAAAAAUUCGAUUUAUAUUAUUUCAAUAGUCAGAUUUGAAUCAAACAUAUAAAUUUUUAUAAAUAUCCAAUUUUUCCUUAAUAUUUAGGAUUUAUUAUAUUAAAAGUUGUAUUGAUUUAAUACAUAUGCUUUUAAAUCGUUAUAAGAAAAUGAAUAUAUGUAGACAACACAUUUUUUCUAUCCAAUUAUUUUAUAUUGAGAAAUUAUACUGAAAAUGUUUUUUUGCACAAGUUUAAUUCUUUUUGAAUGAUUACAUGUUUAUUAAUUUUAAAAUUUUGUACAGUCAGGUACUCAUGUCCUUAUGAAUCAAUAUAAGGAAAAUUAAAUUCGUGGAGAUAAAAAUUUGUAAAUUUUUGUGGUAUGAUUAUAAUUUAAUUAUUAAACUUUAAUAUAUUCAUUUAGUCACUUAAUCCAUAUGUGUUCAUGUUUGUAAACAAUGACGGGGACGGAAGGAGUAAUUGUAGUUUCAUAAGUUUCAAUACAAAAUAACAAUGAAUUAACGUAUAGAUUCUUAUCUAAAUUAGUUUGUUAACAAAAAAUUUCCAUAAAUUAGAAAAAAUAAAUACUCGCAAAUAAUAAGAUAAAUGAAUAAAUAAAGGGAAUUUACCCAUGCUACCACUAAUUCUAAGUUUUUUUUUUGCGAUUUUAUUGUCGUUUGAAAAUACUUGAAAAAAAUAAUUUUUUAAGAAGUAUUGGCGAAAAUAUGAUCAUUAAAUGCAACCAGAUGUCCUAAGCAUGGUUUCAUCUGGUUGCAAGUAUAGUUGCAUGUGGUUGCUUACCGUAUUUUUACCAAUAUUUUUCAAAGUUAGGUAUUUUUCAAAUAAAUAUAAUUGCAUGUGGGCCCGUACAAUAUUUUUGCAAAUAAUUUUAAAAAUUUUGAUAUUUUUGUAAAAUAUUUAAAAAAUAUAUAGCAUUUUUUCGAAAAAUGCUUUGGACUGACUGAGAUAUUUUAUUUAUGAGAAAAUCCCAUAGAUAAAUAAUAGACACGCGAGAUACAUUUUAUCAUUUAUAAAUAGUAGGUUUUGCAAGUGGUGGCCAUGCCGUCAUGAAUGAGAUCAGAAUUUAUUUUAGUUAAUUUUCUUAUUCAAUCCUCGAUUAGGUAGCCUUCUCAUACACGAAUUCAUAUCGCUGGUGCUUUCGUUGAGAGAUUUGAGAGUCAGCCAGAUAGUUUACAAUCUUCACCACAACAACCAUAAUCUGGAACAAACUUCCGAAAGCCAUAAUAGCUCUGUUGUAGAAUGAUAUAUAAAUACAAAGCAUCAAGCCUGUGUGAAAAUUGGAAAAACUAAACCUUACUCACUCCACUCCUUAAUUUAAAAACGCUAGAAACUUUUACUGGUGUAAAAGAUGACAAUUGACAACUGAAAACGCAAUUAACUGAUUGCAGCCAAACUAGAGUGGCAUGUAAAGGAAGAAAUUAGUAGUCAAGGAACAACAAGAGUUGCUAGAGCACGAAGGGGAUGAAGCUUGGCAAGAGUGAUCCCGAACUUAUUCUCCAUGUCCAACUCUCCUGGAGCAAUCCCACCUUCAAGUUCCCAGUCAAAACAAUUUAUGAGGGUGCCCACCAUGACGGGCACCAUCCUCAUGGCCAGGGGCAAUCCAGGACAUUUCCUUCGACCCGCGCCAAAUGGAAUCAACUCGUAAUCAUGCCCAUACAAAUCAACUUCAGAGUCCAUGAAUCUCUCUGGCUGGAUUGACAACGGAUUUUCCCACAGCAUGGGAUCGCGUCCUAUAGCCCAUGCAUUCACAAGGACUUGUGAAUUCUUAGGAAUGGUAUAGCCACAGAGUUCAACGUCUUCUUUCACUUGGCGUGGUAUUAAGAAGGGGGCCGCUGGGUGAAGCCUUGCAGUUUCUUUCACAAUGCAUUGCAAAUAAGUCAACUUAGAAAUGUCUGCUUCUUCUACUAUCUUGCCUUUUCCGAUCACUUGAUUCAGCUCAGCUUUCGCCCUGGCCAAUACUGUUUCCGAUUUCUUUAAUACCUCAGCCAUCGCCCAUUCCACUGUACUUGAAGUUGUAUCUGUUCCUGCCACGAAUAAAUCCUGCCCAAAAUUUCCGGAUAUUAGUAAGAUAUGAGAAGCAUACAUACUACAGAGGUGCAAAUAUUGUGUGUUGCAUAGAGGUGCUAAAAAAUAAGACCAAAAACAAUUAGGAAUUAUUAAGAAGAUUAACUUACCAAGAACAAGUGGUUGCUGAGAGUUAUAUCAAUCUCAUUCGUCUGUACCAAUUUCAGCAGUUCGUCGAGCACGUCUGUACUAGAAUUGUCAUCAGAGUUCCCCAGUCUCUUCAACUCCAAGCGUUCACUUACCAUACCAUCAAAUAACUCGAGUAGCUUCCCAAAGUGCACAAUCAUUCGUCGUCUAAUACCUUGGGGAUCGAAAGACCUAAGAAAAGGAAAAUAAUCCACUAAAUUAGGCGUGUCUGCCUCGAGCAUAAUGUUCCCCACCAAGUCCUUGAACUCCUUAGCCUCGGUGUUAUGAUACGGAUCUGCAAUAUCCUUGGAAAAAAUCGUAUUUGACAAAAGAUUAAGCGAGGUCUGAAAAGCAACACGCCCAAUAUCCACAGCCUCCCCACUUCUCCCACACUUAUCAACGUAUCCAACAAGCUCCUGCACCUUGUUAGAUCGAAGAUGAUGAUUAGCAUCGAGCUUGCUAGUUGUAAAUAUAUAAGAGCUCAAAAUUUUUCUUAGGUCUCUCCACUGUUUUCCAACAGGCAACGAUACUACCGAGGACUCGGAGUGGUGGCAUGCACGUACAGCGUCGAGCCCGAGCCUAUUAGAGAAGGCCAGGUCUUGCUUUUGAAGGACUUCUUGAGCUGCGGUCGAUGAAGAGAUGACUAUGGUGGUUAUACGUCCCAGUUUUAGACUCAUGACCGGGCCGUGAAGCUGAACCAGGUUGGCUAAGGAUUUAUGCGGGUGUUUGCCGAGUUUGUGUAUAUUUCCUAU
rnacentral:lncRNA from 1 species